rnacentral:rRNA from 1 species
GUCCACGCUGUAAACGAUGAAUACUAGGUGUCGGGUCGAAAGGUUCGGUACCGAAGCUAACGCAUUAAGUAUUCCACCUGGGGGAGUACGAUCGCAAGGUUGAAACUCAAAGGAAUUGACGGGGGCCCGCACAAGCAGUGGAGCAUGUGGUUUAAUUCGAUGCAACGCGAAGAACCUUACCUAGGCUUGAAAUGCAAUAGACCGGGUAUGAAAGUACCCUUCCCUUCGGGGCUGUUGUACAGGUGCUGCAUGGCUGUCGU